AGGGUUUGAUCAUGGCUCAGAACGAACGCUGGCGGCGUGCCUAACACAUGCAAGUCGAACGAGAAAGUUCCCUUCGGGGGACAAGUACAGUGGCAGACGGGUGAGUAACACGUGGGCAACCUGCCCGAAGGUGGGGGAUAACCCUCCGAAAGGAGGGCUAAUACCGCAUGAUAUCCGCGAGGCUUCGGCCUUGCGGAUCAAAGUUGGCCUCUACUUGUAAGCUAACGCCAUCGGAGGGGCUCGCGGCCCAUUAGCUUGAUGGUGAGGUAACGGCUCACCAUGGCUACGAUGGGUAGCCGGCCUGAGAGGGCGAUCGGCCACACUGGAACUGAGACACGGUCCAGACUCCUACGGGAGGCAGCAGUGAGGAAUUUUGCGCAAUGGGGGAAACCCUGACGCAGCGACGCCGCGUGGAGGACGAAGGCCUUCGGGUCGUAAACUCCUGUCAAGAGGGACGAAUGUCGUAAGGAUGAAUAAGCCUUGCGAUUGACGGUACCUCUGGAGGAAGCCCCGGCUAACUCCGUGCCAGCAGCCGCGGUAAUACGGAGGGGGCCAGCGUUGUUCGGAAUUAUUGGGCGUAAAGGGCGCGCAGGCGGCCUGGUAAGUCGGGCGUGAAAUCCCGCGGCUCAACCGCGGAACUGCGUUCGAAACUGUCAGGCUUGAGUCCCGGAGAGGGUGGCGGAAUUCCCAGUGUAGCGGUGAAAUGCGUAGAUAUUGGGAGGAACACCAGUGGCGAAGGCGGUCACCCUGGACGGGUACUGACGCUGA
rnacentral:rRNA from 1 species